rnacentral:rRNA from 1 species
AGAGUUUGAUCCUGGCUCAGAACGAACGCUGGCGGCAGGCUUAAUACAUGCAAGUCGAACGGUUGUAGCAAUACAGCAGUGGCAGACGGGUGAGUAACACGUGGGAACCUACCUAGGGGUACGGAAUAACUCAGGGAAACUUGUGCUAAUACCGUAUACGACCUCAGGGUGAAAGAUUUAUCGCCCCUAGAUGGGCCCGCGUUGGAUUAGCUAGUUGGUGAGGUAAAAGCUCACCAAGGCGACGAUCCAUAGCUGGUCUGAGAGGAUGAUCAGCCACACUGGGACUGAGACACGGCCCAUACUCCUACGGGAGGCAGCAGUAGGGAAUCUUGGACAAUGGGCGAAAGCCUGAUCCAGCCAUGCCGCGUGAGUGAUGAAGGCCUUANGGUUGUAAAGCUCUUUCGCCAGGGAAGAUAAUGACGGUACCUGGAUAAGAAGCCCCGGCUAACUUCGUGCCAGCAGCCGCGGUAAUACGAAGGGGGCUANCGUUGUUCGGAAUUACUGGGCGUAAAGCGCACGUAGGCGGUUUUCCAAGUUGGAGGUGAAAUCCCCGGGCUUAACCUGGGAACUGCCUCCAAGACUGGGAGAC